UACGAAGGGGGCGAGCGUUGUUCGGAAUUACUGGGCGUAAAGGGCGCGCAGGCGGCCCCUGAAGUCAGAUGUGAAAGCCCCGGGCUCAACCUGGGAAUUGCAUUUGAGACUGCUCUGCUCGGGUGCGGAAGAGGGAAGCGGAAUUUCCGGUGUAGCGGUGAAAUGCGUAGAUAUCGGAAGGAACACCAGUGGCGAAAGCGGCUUCCUGGUCCGACACCGACGUUCAGGCACGAAAGCGUGGGGAGCAAACAGG
rnacentral:rRNA from 1 species